UAGCUCAGUAGGUAGAGCACUUCCUUGGUAAGGAAGAGGUUCACCGGUUCGAUCCCGG
rnacentral:tRNA from 1 species